GAUGAACGCUGGCGGCGUGCUUAACACAUGCAAGUCGAACGGAAAGGCUCCUGCUUGCAGGGGCACUCGAGUGGCGAACGGGUGAGUAACACGUGGGUGAUCUGCCCUGCACUUCGGGAUAAGCCUGGGAAACUGGGUCUAAUACCGGAUAGGACCAUCGUCUAGUGUCGGUGGUGGAAAGUUUUUUCGGUGUGGGAUGAGCUCGCGGCCCAUCAGCUUGUUGGUGGGGUAAUGGCCUACCAAGGCGUCGACGGGUAGCCGGCCUGAGAGGGUGUACGGCCACAUUGGGACUGAGAUACGGCCCAGACUCCUACGGGAGGCAGCAGUGGGGAAUAUUGCACAAUGGGCGCAAGCCUGAUGCAGCGACGCCGCGUGGGGGAUGACGGCCUUCGGGUUGUAAACUCCUUUCGCCAGGGACGAAGCGAAAGUGACGGUACCUGGAUAAGAAGCACCGGCUAACUACGUG
rnacentral:rRNA from 1 species